AGCGGCGGACGGGUGAGUAACGCAUGGGUAACCUGCCUCAUACAGGGGGAUAACAGUUGGAAACGGCUGCUAAUACCGCAUAAGCGCACAGUACCGCAUGGUACGGUGUGAAAAACUCCGGUGGUAUGAGAUGGACCCGCGUCUGAUUAGGUAGUUGGUGGGGUAACGGCCUACCAAGCCGACGAUCAGUAGCCGACCUGAGAGGGUGACCGGCCACAUUGGGACUGAGACACGGCCCAA
rnacentral:rRNA from 1 species